CCGAAGAAGAAGAAAAGUUUGAUGAAGAAGAGGAAGAAUAAGUGAGAAGAAGAAAACAAAUUCCACCAUUAGCUGGAGAGGAGCAUAUAAGUGGAGGAGUGCAGGAGGAGCAGGGAAGACCAGGGAGGGGAAACGAGUCUGAUGAUCACCUGACCCGGGUCACUGAGACAACAUUGACCAACAGUUAAAGCAAAGGAGGAAACCGGAGUAUCUGGAGAAAAUCCAUUCAUGGAUAGUGAGAACAGAGGUCCCUGGCUGGGAUUUGAUCCAGUAACCUUCUAACUGAGAGGCAACAAC